rnacentral:rRNA from 1 species
GACGUAGGGCGCGAGCGUUGUCCGGAUUUAUUGGGCGUAAAGAGCUCGUAGGCGGCUUGUUGCGUCGACCGUGAAAACCCGGGGCUCAACUUCGGGCUUGCGGUCGAUACGGGCGGGCUAGAGUUCGGUAGGGGAGACUGGAAUUCCUGGUGUAGCGGUGAAAUGCGCAGAUAUCAGGAGGAACGACCGGUGGCGAAGGCGGCCCCCUGGACCGGUACUGACGCUGAGGCGCGAAAGCGUGGGUAGCAAACGGG